UACGUAGGGGCCAAGCGUUGUCCGGAUUUAUUGGGCGUAAAGAGCUCGUAGGCGGUUCGGCAAGUCGACGGUGAAAUCUCCACGCUCAACGUGGAGGGGUCCGUCGAUACUGCUGUGACUCGAGUCCGGUAGGGGAGUGUGGAAUUCCCGGUGUAGCGGUGAAAUGCGUAGAUAUCAAGUGGAACACCAGUGGCGAAGGCGAGUCCCUGGACAACUCCUGACACUGAGGCACGAAAGCUAGGGGAGCAAACAGG
rnacentral:rRNA from 1 species